rnacentral:rRNA from 1 species
GACGAACGCUGGCGGCGUGCCUAAUACAUGCAAGUAGGACGCAGUUGCGAACGGGUGAGUAACGCGUAGGUAACUACCUAUUAGAGGGGGAUAACUAUUGGAAACGAUAGCGAAUACCGCAUACUAGUAGAUAGACCUGCGUUGUAUUAGCUAGUAGGUAGGGGAAUGGCCUAACUAGGCAACGAUACAUCGCCGAGCGGGGGGGGUGAGCGGCAAACCUGGGAAUGAGACCCGGCCCAGACUCCUACGGGAAGCAGCAGUAGGGAAUCUUCGGCAAUGGGGGGAACCCUGACCGCGCACCGCCGCGUGAGUGGAGAAGGGUCUCGGGUCGUAAAGCUCUGUUGUUAAGGAAGCGGUACUUAACCAGAAAGGGACGGCUAACUACGUGCCAGCAGCCGCGGUAAUUC